AGAUAACCCAUCUAAAGCGCAUAAUACACUGCUUGUGUGUACAUGCUAAUUGUCUUCAGUUGUGUCUGAUUCUUUGCGAGUCUGUGGACUGUAGCUCACCAGGCUCCUCUGUCCAUGGGAUUCUCCAGGCAAGAAUGCUGGAGUGGGUUGCCACAUCCUUCUCCAGGGGAUUCUCCUGACCCAGGGAUUGAACCCAUGUCUUCUAUGUCUCCUGCAUUGGCAGGUGCGUUCUUUACCACUGGAGCCACCUGGGAAGCCCAAUACAGUGCCUAGAACCUGCAAGAUCCCUGUUAGACUGUGUGUUACUUCAUUUUUAUAUCUCCAAUACCUAGCACAAAGUCUGGAUCACAGUAAGUAUUUAAUCUACUUUUCAUCUCUAUUAACAAAGAGAACAGAAAGUGUUAAACUGUAUUUAUGAGGAAGGCUCAUUAGUUGACCUUUCUUUCAACCUUCAGGUAAUACUUGGAUCUUCAGUUUUGCCAGCCAUAAAAUGCCUGCUUCCUCCUCUCCUCCUAAAAGCUUAAAUUGUUUAGAUAUGUCUUGGUUAUAGAAACUGAUCCAAUACUGUCCUUCAAAAAGAGAAGAAAAAUUAAGAAUGCAUUUACACUGUGAAAUUAAGGAAACUUGGUAAGAUGGAGGUCAGAUAAACCAUUCAACAUUAUUUCUAGAGUACUCUAUUUUCUGUAUAUAGUAUCAAUACUUUUGUUUUCAGAAGAAUUCACUCUCCCAAUUGUCAAAUUUUUUAAAAUUAAUUGUUAAUAGAAUGAUAAUGUCAUCUUAUACUUAAAAUGGAAACUCAGUUGUACAAAACAUAUGCUAAGUUUCACUGUUGAACUAUAGCAGCCCAUUUCUUUCUAACUAAAAGCGAGCUUUGGCAGUGGGUGGCAAGAUUUUUGGUUUCCAGUUCAGGGGCAGGUAUUAACAAGUGAGUUAAUGAAGCCGUUUAUAAUUUAGCAUAUUAACAGCACUGUUGUUGAUCUCUUAGAUGCUUUGAGAUUUUUAACAUUGUUUCAUCUUUCUGCAAUUCAAUUUCCUCAUUUGCAAAAAGAAAGUAAAAAUACCUGCAGGAAAGUAGGAAGGUUAAAUAUGAAGGUUAAAGAAAUAAUAACAUGUAGAUAAAACAUCUAACAUGGUGCUUUGCACGUAGUAGAUGCCCAAUAAAUGUUAUUUUCUUUUUCAUCAGGAUUUUGUUACAGCAUCAUGUUCUGUUCAGUCUAACCUGCUUACCUCCCUAUACUGUAAACUCAUUCAUGGCAGAAAUUAUGUCAUACCAUCUUUGGAUUCCUAACACCUAGCAUACUGCUUAAUACAUAAGAGGUGUUGAAUAUGUAAUUAUGGAAGCCAUGAAGAAAGGAUGGAGGAAAAAAAGUAGGAAGAAAGUUAGGAGAAGGUGAGGAAUAAAUAGAACUAAAUACUAACUAGGUAGAGUUGAGUACCAUGGAACAAAAACCCCUAUAUAAUUAUUCAAAUUAUUAUUUUUAAAAUAUUUAUAUUUUAUCAUGUUAAUUCUAAGAAGUGUAGGAAAUUACCAGCAUUAUAAAAAU
ensembl:lncRNA